rnacentral:tRNA from 5 species
GGAGAGUUGCCAGAGUGGUCGAUCGGGGCAGACUCGAAAUCUGUUGUACCCUUCGGGGUACCGGGGGUUCGAAUCCCUCACUCUCCGCCA